GGGGGGGUCGGGGGGGGGACGGGCGGCGCCGCGCCCUUAAAACGGCCCCGAAUUGGAGGGGGGGGGGAUUGGAGCGCCUUCGGGACCGGGAAGCGGAGCGGAACCGGAGCGGAACCGGGAUCGGAACCGGGGGAUACGGAACCGGGAUCGAAGUACAGGGAUCGGAGGACCGGGAUUGGGAUCGGAAUACCGGGAUUGGGAUCGGAAUACCGGGAUUGGGAGCGGAGAACCGGGAUUCGGAUCGGGACCGGGAUUGGAGUACCCGGAGCGGGGUUAAAGCACCGCUAUUGGGAUCCGGAUCCGGGAUCGGAACACCGGGACCGGGAUUGGAGUGUUGGAAGUGGGAUCGGAAUCCGGAUCCGGGUCGGAACACCGCUAUUUGGGGUCGGGAUCCGAAUAUCGGGACUGGGAUUGGAGUACCGGGAGUGAGAGUGGGGUCCGGACCGGGAUCGGAGCACCGGAACCGGGAUUGGAGUGUUGAAAGUGGGAUCGGGAUCCGAACCGGGUUGGAGAGCCGCUAUUAGGAUCCGGAUCCGGACCGGGUCCGGGAUCCGGGCCGGGAUCGGAGCACCGAGAGUGGGAUCGCAGCGCUGCUAUUGGGAUCGGACCGCGAUCCGAACCGGGAUCGGAUUGGGACUGGGAUUGGGAUCGGACCGGGAGUGGGAUUGGAACGUCGGUAACGGGAUCGGAACCGGGAUCCGUGCUGGGAUCGGAGCGCCGUUAAUAGGGUCGGAACCGGGAUCUGAGCUGGGAUUGGAGCGCUGUUAAUAGGAUCAGAACCGGGAUCAGAGCACUGUUAGUAGGAUCAGAACCGGGAUCUGAGCUGGGAUCGGAGCGCCAUUAAUAGGAUCAGAACCGGGAUCUGAGCUCACAGCGCCAGGAUCCGGGCUGGGAAUUGGACCCCAAACGGGCCCUGAGCGCCGGCAUUGCUGGGAUUGUUGGCAUCGUUGGCUGUGGGACCCCCCCUCGUUGCCCCCCACCCCCUGCGGGCGUUGGCCUCCGGGCGUUGGGAUUGUAGGUGGGACCCCACAGCGCCGCCCCAUAGCGCCGCCCCAUAGCCCCGGCCCCCCAAGGUCACCCGGAGCCGCCGCCGGGGCCGCCAGUUGUGCCGUAGUCGGCCCUAAAGGCCACCGGGGCCACCAAAAGACCCCCCCCCAGGGCCACUGAAGACCCCCCCAGGGCCACCAAAGACCCCCCCCCCCAGGGCCACCAAAGCCACCUCUGGAGCCGCCGAGGCCACCAAAGACCCCCCCCAGGGCCACCAAAACAGCCACCAACGCCACCUGAAGAGCCACCAAGGCCACCAAAGCCAACUCUACAGCCCUCAGGGCCACCAAGGCCACCUGUAGGGCCACCAAGGCCACCAAAGCCAACUCUACAGCCCUCAGGUCCACCAAAGCCAACUCAAGAGCUACUGAAGGCCCCCAAGGCCACCUGUAGAGCCACCAAAGCCAACUCUACAGCCACCAAAGCCACCAAGGCCACCAAAGCCAUCUCUACAGCCACCAAAGCCAACUGUAGAGCUACUGAAGACCCCCAAGGCCACCAAAGCCAACUCUACAGCCUCCAAAGCCAACUGUAGAGCUACUGAAGACCCCCAAGGCCACCAAAGCCAACUCUACAGCCUCCAAAGCCAACUGUAGAGCUACUGAAGACCUCCAAAGCCAACUGUAGAGCUACUGAAGACCCCCAAAGCCAACUGUGGAGCUACUGAAGACCCCCAAAGCCAACUGUAGAGCUACUGAAGACC
rnacentral:lncRNA from 1 species